AGAGUUUGAUCCUGGCUCAGGACGAACGCUGGCGGCGUGCUUAACACAUGCAAGUCGAGCGAUGAAACACCUUCGGGUGUGAAUUAGCGGCGAACGGGUGAGGAACACGUGAAGAAUCUGCCUUCAACUCUGGGAUAACUCCGGGAAACCGGGGCUAAUACCGGAUAUGAGCCUCGAUCGCAUGAUUGGGGCUGGAAAGUUUUUCGGUUGAAGAUGACUUCGCGGCCUAUCAGCUUGUUGGUGAGGUAAUGGCUCACCAAGGCGACGACGGGUAGCCGGCCUGAGAGGGCGACCGGCCACACUGGGACUGAGACACGGCCCAGACUCCUACGGGAGGCAGCAGUGGGGAAUAUUGGGCAAUGGAGGAAACUCUGACCCAGCGACGCCGCGUGAGGGAUGAAGGCCUUCGGGUUGUAAACCUCUUUCAGUAGGGAAGAAGCGAAAGUGACGGUACCUACAGAAGAAGCACCGGCUAACUAUGUGCCAGCAGCCGCGGUAAUACAUAGGGUGCAAGCGUUGUCCGGAAUUAUUGGGCGUAAAGAGCUCGUAGGUGGUUCGAUACGUCGGAUGUGAAAAUCAGGGGCUCAACCCCUGACCUGCAUCCGAUACGGUCGAGCUAGAGUUUGGUAGGGGAGACUGGAAUUCCUGGUGUAGCGGUGGAAUGCGCAGAUAUCAGGAGGAACACCGAUGGCGAAGGCAGGUCUCUGGGCCAAUACUGACACUGAGGAGCGAAAGCGUGGGGAGCGAACAGGAUUAGAUACCCUGGUAGUCCACGCCGUAAACGGUGGGCGCUAGUUGUGCGAACCUUCCACGGUUUGUGCGACGCAGCUAACGCAUUAAGCGCCCCGCCUGGGGAGUACGAUCGCAAGAUUAAAACUCAAAGGAAUUGACGGGGCCCCGCACAAGCAGCGGAGCAUGCGGCUUA
rnacentral:rRNA from 1 species